rnacentral:SRP_RNA from 1 species
UCGUGCUAGAUGGGGAGGUAGCGGUGCCCUGAACCUGCAACCCGCUAUAGCAGGAUUGAAUUCCUACCCCCGGCCCUUAGCUUUACAGGGUCUGCCUCCGGUAAGUGGUGAAGAAGCCUUGGUCCUGUGCGGCAUAAGCCCAUGAACCCCGUCAGGUCCGGGAGGAAGCAGCGGUAAGUGGUGACUUGUGGGUGCCACAGGGGCGCUGGGGCUGAGCAAACUGCUGGGGUUCCGCCUGGGGAGCGGGGUCAAAGGUAGGUGCACGA